CAUAGUGCAUACCCUCCAGGCCAGGCACUCCAUAUACAACACAAAAACAAAACGUCUGCACGCACCUUACUUCCUACUACAGUAGUAUAGGAAGUGCCUAGCUCAACUGGUUAGGAUGAGAGGGGUGGUCGUGCACUCUAACCACCCAGGUUCGAAUCCCCUCUAGCUUAAAUUUGGCCGUUUAGAUUCGUCUUAUGUAAUGGGUUUUGUAAAUAGUCUACGUUUAAUACUCCUAAUUAGUAUCUAAAUAUUCGAUGUGACGGGUGCUAAAAAUAAGUCAGUGGAAGAAAACGGGACCUGAGUCUUUCCUUUGGACACUGAAUCUCCUCUCCUGCAUAGUGCAUACCCUCCAGGCCAGGCACUCCAUAUACAACACAAAAUCAAAACGUCUGCACGCACCUUACUUCCUACUACAGUAGUAUAGGAAGUGCCUAGCUCAACUGGUUAGGAUGAGAGGGGUGGUCGUGCACUCUAACCACCCAGGUUCGAAUCCCCUCUAGCUUAAAUUUGGAUGCAUAUUUCUUCUUCUUAAUGAAAAAUCACCUAGCUCCUCCUAGGUUGAUCUAAUUAUUACACUAGUAUCUACAGAGCAGAGCAGAAGCACAGCACCACCAGGCCUCAAGCCG
rnacentral:lncRNA from 1 species